rnacentral:rRNA from 1 species
UCAAAUUUGAAAUCUGGGUCUUUUAGGCUCCGAGUUGUAAUUUGUAGAAGAUGCUUUGGGUGCGGCCCCGGUCUAAGUUCCUUGGAACAGGACGUCAUAGAGGGUGAGAAUCCCGUAUGUGAUCGGUGGCUUGCGCCCGUGUAAAGCUCUUUCGACGAGUCGGGUUGUUUGGGAAUGCAGCUCUAAAUGGGUGGUAAAUUUCAUCUAAAGCUAAAUAUUGGCCAGAGACCGAUAGCGCACAAGUAGAGUGAUCGAAAGAUGAAAAGCACUUUGGAAAGAGAGUUAAACAGUACGUGAAAUUGUUGAAAGGGAAGCGCUUGCAACCAGACUUGCGCGGGGUUGAUCAUCCGGGGUUCUCCCCGGUGCACUCGGCCUCGCUCAGGCCAGCAUCGGUUUUGGUGGUUGGAUAAAGGCCUUGGGAAUGUGACUUCUUUCGGGGAGUGUUAUAGCCCUCGGUGCAAUGCAGCCUACCGGGACCGAGGACCGCGCUUCGGCUAGGAUGCUGGCGUAAUGGUUGUAAGCGACCCGUCUUGAAACACGGACCAAGGAGUCUAACAUCUAUGCGAGUGUUUGGGUGUCAAACCCAUACGCGUAAUGAAAGUGAACGGAGGUGAGAACCCUUAAGGGUGCAUCAUCGACCGAUCCUGAUGUCUUCGGAUGGAUUUGAGUAAGAGCAUAGCUGUUGGGACCCGAAAGAUGGUGAACUAUGCCUGAAUAGGGUGAAGCCAGAGGAAACUCUGGUGGAGGCUCGCAGCGGUUCUGACGUGCAAAUCGAUCGUCAAA